GUCAUAUUCUGGUCAAUAAACUUGAAUAUCACUCAAUAAGUGCCAUAAUUAAUGUGGAUAUAACUUUAACAUUAGAACUUUAGAACCUGAUGCAUCAAAUAGUCAUUAUUAUACUAUUUUAGCUGAAAAAACUGCUUUCUACUCGUCUAACUCAGGUUCGGAUUCAUUGAAUAGCUACAGGAUGUCCGGUCAGAACAUUAGGUCUCACACCAGGAAUGUACUUCAGGGUGAUUUAUUGUGCAAAGAUGGGUGUGGUUCUGUAAAUAUAAAACAGUACACAAAUAUAAAUAAAUGAAUAAAUAUACAUUAACAGAUCUUUACAGCAGUACUUAAAUACUCAUAAGUAACAGCAUUGUAAAUGAUAUAUUAUUGAACUUAACAUGAAGUAAACAAUAUAAAUGUAAUAUAGAUACAAAUACAAAUCGAAGUUCUUUAAAAUGAUUGCACUACUGCAGUGUGUGUCUAGCUCACGUGACUCGAACAUGUUCCCUGAGAUGCGUUGAGUCUAUGCAUCAGGGCCGUAACCACAAUAGACAUUGAGGGGGACAAGUCCCCCCCCAAUAAUCAGAUAUGGCCAAAAUGUCCCCCCCAAUAUUUAAUAUUCCUUUAGUUCCUCUGCUGCACUGUGUUAUGAACUGCUAACGUAUGAUGUUACGAUUAAAAAGUUGUUAUUAUUUAUUUAUUUUUAGCGUGGUCUGCCUCAGCGCGCUCGUCAAUGUCAAUAUGUUAGCCAAUCAAAUCAAAGGCGGCGGGCUUUACAAUUCGCAGAGCGCAUCGGUUUGACGGCUUCAGUUUUCAGCAAGUGUGAGGUAAGAUUAUGCUAAGCAGCUAACCUUUAAUAUUUGACAAACAUUUCACAGAAGCCUUUCAAAAUCGACAGUAAUAUACAGGGAUGCAAACAUUUGCGUACAUUGUAAUGCGAUAUGCGAUGUGAGGCAAACACUAACUGGUGCGUUUUCAGCAAAUUAAGCCUCAGAUAGGCUAAUUAUUAGCUUAUAUAAUUCACACGAUUGAAUAUACUGUAUAUAUUGUGAAUUUAAUAAUGAACGUGGGACAUUUAUCAUCCUUAGACUUGGAACAUGAUAAAACGUGUGGAUUUGACUCAAGUGUGAUUUUUAAUUUGUGAAUGACGUCAAAUAUUUAAAAAAAGAAAGAACCUAUUUGCAACAUUUUCUCUGUUUUUUUUUAACAAUAAACCUCCCAGUAUCUACCAUUUCAUUUUUAUAUAUCCAUAUCAGGUCUGUUCUGAAAUUUAAAGGGAUGGUUCUCCUAAAAAUGAAAAUUUUUUAUCAUUGAAUUACCCUUCUGCCAUUCCAAAAACAAUUGCUGUUUCUUUUCAUUAAAAAAAUAAAUAAAAAUCAGCUCCAUUCCAGGUCUAUUCGAUAAAAUAGUGAAAUACAUUAAAGCAUUACAAAGGUGUACUAAAAGCACUAUAUACUCCAAGUAGCCAGAGGUUUGUGUAAUAUGCCUGAUUUUAUUGCACAGCUGUGUAAAUAUUCUUCAGAAUAGGCCUACUCAUUUUGUUUUUAUAAAUCCUAACAUACAGGUUUGGAAUGACUUGAGGGGGAGUAAUUUGUCUUGUCUGUUGUCUUGCUGGCUAACACAGUCAUGUCAUUUUACAGAGACAUCAAUAAUGAAAAGACAAUCGAGUGAUAUUCGUUUUUUCUUUGGGACAGCACAAAAAAUAAGGGUGAGCUGACAGGAACAGGAAAUUAGCGCUAUAUAUAUAUAUAUAUAUAUAUAUAUAUAUAUAUACACAGUGUAAUUUUUUUAAUUCACAUUUGGUCUGCUCUACUAUUGUAAGUGCAAGAGAGGGAAAGGCAAGGCAGGAAGACUUUAGGGCAGAACAAGAUGAUUUUGAGGUAGGUGAAAGCAUAGAUUUCCCAAAGGAAUCUGAGAAGUUUAAUGUUGAAACUCAUGUUGGUCUCUUUGUAUUCAUAUAUUAAAAGUAUAAUAUACUUUCAGAGUAAGUCGAGAAAUACAGUGAAAGAAAAAGACCAGGACAGUGGUGACAGUUCAAGACCAGGUGAUGAGGUGAGUUGAGCUACAUAUGAAAGCAAAAACUGAGCUGAAAACUGACAGUGCCAGAAACUGAAAAUACUGUCCAGAAUGCUAAUGCUUGAGAAAUAUACCAUCAGCUUAUCUAAAGUACUGCCCUAAGCCAAGAAAAAAAAAAAAGCUAUUGUUUUGCAUUCUGUUUGUUUCACUCUAUUGUUUAAUUACCAUUUACUCUAAAUGCACUGCUGAAUGCAAAGGUAAAUCAUGAGGGAAAAUACUGCACAAGUCCAUCCAGACAAAUCAUAAAGCUUUUUUUUUCUUCUGGUAAUCUCAUUUGCUCUGGUUGAUUCGGAAAAAAGAGAGUGAGAAAGAGGGAGGGCAAGACGACGCUAACACGGCAGAAGGAGGUGACAUUCAGGGACAAGAAAGAGAGAAAGAGGGAGUACAGGAAGAUCACAGUACAGGGAAUGGCGACAAUAAGGUCCCUGAGAUGGAGAUAGAGGAUAGACAGAUAGGAGAAAAUACAAGAGAGAGAGAAGAGCUUGGACCUUGUCCUAGUCAUCCAAAUGUCAAGUUUAUGCCUACUCAGACUCUUUCAAACAAGACACUUCACUUUCAGGAGAAAUGGUUUAGAGAAUAUUCUUGGCUUCAUUACUGUCCUUCAUUAAAGGGUGUCCUUUGUUUUUACUGCGCAAAGUAUUUUGCAAAUUCCAAGUCAAAGCUUGCUUCAAAAAUGGAUUCAGCUUUUAUUUCAAAUGGCUUUCGAAACUGGAAAAAGGCAGUAGAGAAAUUUGAUGCUCAUAAAGACAGUCAGUGUCACAAAGUAGCUCUUAUGACUAGGAUUCAGGAGACACAUCCUGUUGAUAUGUAACUUUCACGUGAGUGUGAAAAACAACAAGAAAGAGCAAGACAAAAUCUAAUGAAAAUAUUCAAAGGUGCAAAGUACUUGGCACGACAAGGGCUGCCAUUUAGAGGAGCUGACAGUCAAAGUGGAAAUUUUAGCCAGCUCCUGCAAUACAAAGCAGAAGACGAUGCUGAGCUGUCAACUUGGUUGAAAGGACAUGUGGACUUUACAAGUCCAAAAAUUCAAAAUGAGAUAUUAAUGUGCAUGGACAAUUCCAUUGUUAGAGAAAUAGUCUCUGAAAUAAAUUCUUUGCCAGUUGUACAGUUUUCAUUGAUCAUUGAUGGGACCCAGGACUCUGCAGGAGUUGAACAAGAAUCCAUCUGCCUUCGAUAUGUGGAUUCUGAUCUUCAGCCAAGAGAGGAGUUUAUUGGACUUUACGAGAUGUCAACAACAACAGGAAAGGCUUUAGCAAAUAUGGCAUGUGAUGUCAUGAUCCGGCUAAAUCUUCCUCUGUCUCAACUCAGAGGACAAACAUAUGAUGGAGCUUCCAACAUGGCUGGUCAUAUGCAAGGUGUUCAAGCUCUUUUAAAAAAGGAGCAGCCAUUGGCUUUGUACUGUCACUGUGCUACACACUGUGCUAAUUUGAUUACACAGUGAUUAGAGACACACUAGGUUUAGUCCACGAAUUAGGCUCCUUCUUCAACCAAUCUGUGAAAUUCAAGGCAAUUUUUAAGGACAUAGCAAAAUCACAGCAUUCUUUUAUUUCUUUAAAGCCUCUUUGCCCCACCAGGUGGACUGUUCGGACAUCUGCUCUUCAUGCAAUUCUCAAACAGUAUGAAUCUGUGUUGACUGCUUUGGAGGAAAUGGCGUCCUGUGGCACAAACGAUACAUCAAUUAAGGCCAAUGGGUUUCAUGAAAAAUUCCUUAAGGGAAACACUGUGCUUGGCCUUGUAAUGGCAGAGGACAUAAUUGGCGAGUUGGAGUGCUUAAACACCAGCCUGCAGCUCAAACAGCAGACAGUAUCAGGGACGUUGGAGGCUGUAGCAUGUUAAGAAAAGCAUGCAAGAGAAGAGAACUGAUGAACACUUCCAACAACUGUUCACCAAAGCUGGAUCUACAACCGAUUCAGAUGCCUCACAUCCGAAAACAAGCCAAACGAUACAGCAGUCAGACUGCACCUGAUGUAAAUCCUAAUGAUCCUAAUGUCCAGUCCUACUUCAGGCCCCAGUAUUACAGCUGCUUGGACAUGGUGAACACCCAGAUGACUCAAAGGUUUGACCAAGAUGGCAUCCAAAAACUGCAAAAGCUUGAGAAUGUGCUACUGAAUACUGAAUUGGACAAAGUAGUGGAUGAGUAUCCUGAAUUAAAUUCAAGACAAUUGCAGGUGCAGCUUAACAUGUUUGAAGCUAUGUACACUUUCCAAACUACAGCAGACGUUGCAGAAAUCAUUCGAAACAUGGUUCCUGAAGUGAGAGGCCUUUUCAGUCAAGUUGAGACUUUGGUAAGGCUGUUGCUGGUUGUCCCUGCCUCCUCAUCAGAAGCCGAGAGGAGUUUUAGUGCCCUGAGGAGGAGGCUCAAAACCUGGUUAAGGUCAUCAAUGAGUCAGACAAGGCUCAAUAAUGUGGCUAUUUGCCAUGUACACCAGGAACGACUGGACAAAUUAGAACUUCAAAAAGUAUGCCAGUCCUUCAUUCAAGUAAAUGAAAAGCACAAGAAGAUAUUUGGAUCCUUCAUUUAAAAUUUAGUGAAGACGACAUGAAUUGUUAUGUAACAUUGUAAAUAAUUGUAUUCAUCUGGAGGUCUUUGUAAUGAAGUGAGAUGGUUUUAGAAUGUAUGGAGUUGUUUUUUGUUUGAUUUGUUUUUUUCAUUUUAAAUUUAUUGAAUAUUUGUUUUUAUACUUUGGGACACUAGUCUAUCUUUCUAAAAACAAUUUUAUUGUGAUGUGUAUAUAUAGGACAGUUUUUAGCUAAAAAGAUGAUUUUAUAAACCAUCAAAAUCUGUGAUAUGCCCACUGACCGUACUGUAAUUUUGGGGUAAAAAUAUUGAAAGAUCUUGUGUUUUGUGUGUGUAGAUAGAUAGACAUAUAGACAGAUCGUUGGGUUUUGGUCCCCCCCCCCAAAGUUCAAGGUGUGGUUAUGGCCUUGCUAUAUGCAUUAUAGCUUAAUAUGCAAUAUAACAUUAACUACUCUAACAGACAAAUAACACAGGAGAAUUAUAACGUUUGUAACAGAAUAAUGUGCAAAUAUAAUUAACAAUGUAAACAUUUAGGCGGAAUGCCGCUGUAGCGGUCAUUAAUCUCUCUCGUGAAUUUAUCAUCCGAUAAAUUAUGUAAAUGUAUUUACGAUUAGUUGUACGCACACACAUAUUCACACAAUCCUUAAACGGGGCACUUCUAACUAAUUUAUCUUGAACUAUUGACUAUAAACAUCUACACAUCUAGCCUCAACACGGUCUCGUUUUUUUACUCAACUGAAAGUUUUUGGAACAGUCCAACUCACGAACACAGGCGGGAGGGUUUGGAGGAGUUCACUUUCGAGGGGUGGCCUUUCUUACAUUAGCCAUAUAUAAUUGCAAACCAGCAGUAAUUAAACAUAAUUACUAGUUUAUUGUUCAUAUACCGUCCUAAUGCACGGUGAGGAGGAGAGUUUGAGUGGCCAAAGACAUGCCCACGGUUAAAUAUACUGCUGGAUCUUUAAUGCUGUGGGCCUAUUUUUCAGCCGGAGGUCCUGGACCUGAUACAUGGCAUUAUGGAUUCUGUCCAAUACCAACAGAUAAAAAAUCUAAACCUGACUGCCUCUUUUAGAAAUCAUAAAAAAACAUCAAAAUCAAUACACAAGUGUGUCACUGAGCACAAAAUGAAGCUUCUGCCAUGGCCAUCCCCUGACCUGAACCCUGCAGAAAAUGAGUGGGGUGAACUGAACUGGGAAAAAGGACGUUGCAAUAAUUGGGUGCCAAUAAUUUUGACCAAUAUGAACUAGAGAAAAACAUUUUAAAAUUUUCUAACUAUUGGAGCCGAUAGCCUAUAAUUGGUUCAAGAUGUAGUUUGGUUUUGCAUCAGGAGACGAGAGUUCGAGCCCCA